rnacentral:rRNA from 1 species
UACGUAGGGUGCGAGCGUUGUCCGGAAUUAUUGGGCGUAAAGAGCUUGUAGGCGGUUUGUCGCGUCUGCUGUGAAAAUCCGGGGCUCAACCCCGGACUUGCAGUGGGUACGGGCAGACUAGAGUGUGGUAGGGGAGACUGGAAUUCCUGGUGUAGCGGUGGAAUGCGCAGAUAUCAGGAGGAACACCGAUGGCGAAGGCAGGUCUCUGGGACGGUACUGACGCUAAGGCGCGAAAGCGUGGGGAGCGAACAGG